rnacentral:rRNA from 1 species
AAGUCGAGCGGUAGAAAGUAGCUUGCUACUUUUGAGAGCGGCGGACGGGUGAGUAAUGCGUGGGAAUCUACCUGGUAGUGGGGGACAACAGUUGGAAACGACUGCUAAUACCGCAUACGCCCUACGGGGGAAAGCGGGGGAUCUUCGGACCUCGUGCUAUCAGAUGAGCCCGCGUGAGAUUAGCUUGUUGGUGGGGUAAUGGCCUACCAAGGCGACGAUCUCUAGCUGGUCUGAGAGGAUGAUCAGCCACACUGGGACUGAGACACGGCCCAGACUCCUACGGGAGGCAGCAGUGGGGAAUAUUGGACAAUGGGCGAAAGCCUGAUCCAGCAAUGCCGCGUGAGUGAUGAAGGUCUUCGGAUUGUAAAGCUCUUUCGACGGGGAAGAUAAUGACGGUACCCGUAGAAGAAGCCCCGGCUAACUUCGUGCCAGCAGCCGCGGUAAUACGAAGGGGGCUAGCGUUGUUCGGAUUUACUGGGCGUAAAGCGUGCGUAGGCGGCUUGUCAAGUCAGAAGUGAAAGCCCGGGGCUCAACUCCGGAACUGCUUUUGAGACUGGCAGGCUUGAGUUCGGGAGAGGGUAGUGGAAUUCCCAGUGUAGAGGUGAAAUUCGUAGAUAUUGGGA